AUAGCCAUAUUGGAAUUGCUGUUGGUAUAGUUUACAAACAGACUGUCGCUUAUACAGAUUUGAGAUGCUUCACAAUCGAGUUCGGAAGCUAAGCUUGCUUUCAGUUUAUGAACUAUCAGUUUUGAUACAAGUGGUCUUCAAAGAAAAGUGUUAUUGUAUAAAAUGCAGCAAAGGGAGCGAAGUAUCGCUAUGGUUCGAUACGGCAAAUCGGAAUGGAACCAGAGAAAUUGUGAUUAGUUCGAUGCUAAUCUUAACGACAAGGGAAAAGAGAAAGUCCUAGCUGCCGUCAAAUCUAUUACCGAAAAGUUCAUUCGGAUAAAUAAAAUUUCGCUGGGAAAGUGAGAUGGCGUUUGUUAGCAACAACAUUGACCAAUGUAGCUUUUGCUCUAACACAUGCAAUGAAGAAUUUCAUCACGAACAGGACAGUAACGGCGACGGACAAUGUCGACGCAGCUACUUGCAACACUUGCGGAAAAACAAUCGGAAAUUCACUGGCGAAAGCACUUGCUAAAAAUCACUUAAUGAAUGUCACUUGGGUAUAAAAAAUGUCACUAAAGUGUUCAAAAUAUCAAUCACUUGUUUGGGAUAUGUUCUGGAAAAAUCUCUAAACUAUGCCCUCUGGGCGUCCUAGCUUUUGCUAACUCCUAUUCACGGAAUAAGAAAAUUUUUCUUUUUACAUACCGAAAGUAGAAGCGGGCAGCGGGAUGGCGGGGAAAUGAAAAACCUUCAGGCAGCAAUUGAAGUCCGGGAAUGAGACCUCUAAGGCCGCUACAGCGGUUGUACGAAGCGAAGAUUCUCCUUCCUCACCUCCUAUUCUGAUGCGGGUUGAAGAGCGAAAAAAUGGCGCCAAAAUCGCGCGUCUCUGGCAGGAAAAUGAUGCUAGAAAAAUGGGUGCGAACAGCGGGAUACACAAGGGGCAGUAAAAACUGCCGGUCCAAGUGGCCAAUCCAACCGGACCAACUUCCUUAAUGGCAGUUGGGGGCGCUUCCUUUGCUUUCGUCAUUACAAUUUAAAGAUGUAGAACCCUAGGUUGAUCACUUGAAAUGUAGUAUUAUAUUAUA